GGAGGUAUAGCUCAGUGAUAGAGUGCCUGCUUAGCACGUACAAGGUCCUGGGAUCAUUUGUUAGUACCUCCA
rnacentral:tRNA from 1 species